rnacentral:tRNA from 3 species
GCGCCCGUAGCUCAGUCUGGAUAGAGCGUUUGCCUCCGGAGCAAAAGGUCGCAGGUUCAAAUCCUGCCGGGCGUACCA